rnacentral:rRNA from 1 species
UACGUAGGGCGCAAGCGUUGUCCGGAAUUAUUGGGCGUAAAGAGCUCGUAGGUGGUUUGUUACGUCUGCUGUGAAAACCUAGGGCUUAACCCUGGGCCUGCAGUGGAUACGGGCAGACUAGAGGUAGGUAGGGGAGAAUGGAAUUCCCGGUGUAGCGGUGAAAUGCGCAGAUAUCGGGAGGAACACCGGUGGCGAAGGCGGUUCUCUGGACCGACACUGACGCUGAGACGCGAAAGCUAGGGGAGCAAACAGG